rnacentral:rRNA from 1 species
GAUCAUGGCUCAGGAUGAACGCUAGCUACAGGCUUAACACAUGCAAGUCGAGGGGCAGCAUGAACUUAGCUUGCUAAGUUUGAUGGCGACCGGCGCACGGGUGAGUAACACGUAUCCAAACCUGCCGAUGACUCGGGGAUAGCCUUUCGAAAGAAAGAUUAAUACCCGAUGGCAUAGUUCUUCCGCAUGGUAGAACUAUUAAAGAAUUUCGGUCAUCGAUGGGGAUGCGUUCCAUUAGGUUGUUGGCGGGGUAACGGCCCACCAAGCCUUCGAUGGAUAGGGGGUUCUGAGAGGAAGGUCCCCCACAUUGGAACUGAGACACGGUCCAAACUCCUACGGGAGGCAGCAGUGAGGAAUAUUGGUCAAUGGACGAGAGUCUGAACCAGCCAAGUAGCGUGAAGGAUGUCUGCCCUAUGGGUUGUAAACUUCUUUUAUACGGGAAUAAAGUGAGGCACGUGUGCCUUUUUGUAUGUACCGUAUGAAUAAGGAUCGGCUAACUCCGUG